ensembl:lncRNA
GAAUGUCGAUUUUAAUAGUUCUUUUUCUUUUAUGUACAAAAUAUAAUAAUUAUAAACCAAUAAACAACAGAGGUACAAUAUAUAAAUUGCUUAAAAAGACAAAAAGGCAGUGUACUGUGGUGAUACCGUUCCCCCUUUUCUGUUUUCACUAUCAGAAUCUUCCGCCAGUUAACAAUGCAAACACAAAGACAAAUGUUGACCUCUCACUGGGUUGGACCAAAAAGCAAACGGCAGCCAUGUUUGUUUGUUUGUUGUUUGUGUGAACCCAGAAUAAGGAAAUAAAUAGAAAGGGCUAUGGAGGCUUGAUGCCACUGAAUUUGUGUCUUUAACAACAAUUUGAAAAACAAUAAUUCCUUUUGGUUUGUAGUAGAGGCUAGAACAUGUGUUUGUUUUUUACAUGUGAUAAUCUUGCCAUUCGUUCAGUCUAGCCUGGUCCACGAAUCUAAACCUCCAGGAAGCGAUAUGCACUUAUUUUGUCAUGAUGUUCCCGUCUGCUUUUUAUUCCUGAUUGUAAAGUGUAUUAUUUUUCAACCGGGGGACAGUAAAACAGAUUAUCAGCUGUUCAGCCAAUGAGAUUUUAACAAGUGGCUGUAGACACUUGUUGAACGGAGUAAUUUUUGGGCCGGUUGCGAGAUUAAUUGUUAGAUUCGUCCAAUAGGAAUCCAAUAUGACUUCAUAUCCAGCGUGACCAUACAGAGCAAAGUAACCAAUGCAUUGCUAACAAGUGCAUGGACUGGCUAUUGUUGAGAUAAAAUAAGCUCUUUUUAAAUGUUAAUUAAUCGUUGCCCUAAACGCAAUGUCACAAGAAUAAACGGAGCAAAGGGUUCAUUUAAAAACGUUGGUAUAGCCAAGAACCAGCAACGUUGUGUCAAGGACACUAGACUGCUUGAUAAAAAAAAAAGGAAGAUAAAAAAGGAGUAAAAAGCAGUAAAGAAAGGAAAGCAAUUGAUCUAAACUGGGUAAGAGGCCACUUUCGGUGAUGCUUCAUCGACUUCAUAACUUUAGCUUCACUAUACAUUCACACAGGCAUCAACCUGUCGUCCAAUUGGCUUAUUGAAUUUUGAAGAGGUUGAGCAUAAACACAUAGUACCCGACUGAUCACUUAGGCGAUAAGAAUUUAAAUUUUUGUACUUAAGCAUAUAAUCAUAUAUAUUUAUAUAAAAAAAGUUGUGGUCAACAUUUGCUAUGAUGUUCUAACCAGUUGGUGGACGGUGAUCAACUUUGUUCAUUAUGCUUGCCGACAGUGAGUACACACUAUUCUGUUCACCAUCCCAGUACCUGCAGUCAAAACGUCCAGCCAGUGAAGAGCAGUAAACUAAUGUAGUCUCCAAUAGCAGCCCAAAGUUACUGAUUGACAGGUCCGUCCACUAAUGGGUGGACGGGGGAAGGCUGGUCAAUGUGCUUCUGUUCUUAGUUCAGUUCAUAGGGAGCAAGAAUUACCUCCCAGGACUCGGGGAGUGGGACACUCUUUCACCCCAGACAUCGGACAGUUCAGAGUGGACAAUGCCCCUCCUGUCUUGAACAAAAUAUACAAAAGAAAAUUUAAGAAAAAACUCAAGAUCAGUUCUCCAUACAACCUCAGGAAGAAGUUCUCCGUCUGCCCUUGGUUUGACUGGGAUCCAUUUCCGCCCCUUCACUGGACGAUUCACAGGCCUAUGAAACUGCUGGAGGUCCUACAGUCUGUGGUGAAGGGUGGUGCUGUGGCCGGUGCAGGUGGGUCUGCAUGGAGCUGGCCUAAGUCCCUGCCUGCAGCCCCUGGAUCGGGCCAUUAUCACGGUCUGUGGGGG